UAGAGUGUGUGGCCCGGUGUGGCCGUGCAGGAGCUCUUUGUGAGAGCCAGUGUGCUGCCUUGAUUUAAAAUAAAAAAAAAAAAUGUCAGACUGCAGUUCACUGCGCUGGAUUUUAUUUCAUCUGCGCUGAGUAUGUGCGACAAGUGCGCAAAUGCGCAGUUGCGCAGCUGAGAGGGAACAUUGGUGGGGCGGUAUCCUUGCGGCAUGCAGCUGAGCUUUUAAGUUGCCGGCUGAUGAAUGCGCACUCAGGCCUUCCAGUAAUGGGUCUAAAGUGCUCCUUUCAUCUGGCCCAGGAGGAGAGCAAGAAUGGAAAAGUAUGAUUAUCAUUGGUGUGGCGUGUCUUUGCCAGUCGGGCUCUGAGUGUUAAGUGUGAGGCAGAAGCAUUACAGUUUUGCCUGAUCACUGUUAUUAUAAAGUUCAGGUCGUAUUCAUCAUCAUCACCGUCAUCAUCAACAUCGGCACUAGGGGGUGGCUCAUCGCGUGCACAGUGAACCAGUGAGUGAUUCAUCUGAUGAAUGUGUGGACAAAAAAAAGUGCUUCUAUUAAAAGGUCAUACAACCCAUGAGCAGAGGAAUUGGAACACAAGGCUGAUAAUAACUGGCCUAGUUGGGAACUGGGUGCACCUCUCAAGGCCAACUCUUCUGGAUGGUCGCCAUGAGGAGGCCGCUCUAACUGGUUCCACUGACACACACACAGACACGAAACUGAACUCAGCGGACCCUUCUGGCCAGAUGAUGGAAGGUCGUGAGCAGACUCUCACGGGAGACUUCCUGGCCAGCUGUUCCUGCAGACUGGGCGUCUCCUCCACGGCACAGCCCCUCACCCUGGAGUGACCCGGCCGCCUCCGUAAAGCGCCGCCGUGGAUUUGGAUCCACCCACGUACAAUCAUACUCACUUCUUUAGAUUUGGGGCUCAACGUGUUGCCACGCCUGUCAACACGUCUGGUUGUCAUGCCGGAAGCAUUUUAUCAGCAAGUCAAACAACACUACUUGGAGGGGUCUGGAUCGGAAUCGCUCCAUUAGGCCACGAUUAGACGCGGUUGCCAAAUCACGAGGGAAUCUCAGCGAGGGAAUGGUCAAGCGACGGCGCCUUCACAAACUCACAUGCACGCAACGUUCAGGAAGGACGAAAGGAAGUACAAAUACCAUUACUCCACUCCAGAAUAUUUUUCAGGCCAGUGGUGGUGACAUUCAUCAUAGACAGCACGAGACAUCCUAAAGGGCAAAGCGAUGCGCUUGAUGGAACUGGGAGAGACAGAAGCCCAAAGCAGGAUAAUCAAAGAUGGCGUCCACAGAGUCCCACGGUGUCUGGCAGCCCCUCCUGCGAUGAGUAGCGUGUUCGGAGACCCGAAAAAAUGGCGGCAUCUCGUCUCAUGCGGCGCGUUAAGAGGGUUGACCCUUCAGUCGGUGAGGUCGCGGCGCAUCCGAGGGGUUUCCGUGGGGGUCGCCUCAAGGAUGAACUGAGUAUCUGAGCCAAUCCAUCCAUCCAUUAUCCAAGCCGCUCAUCCUCACAAGGGUCACGGGAGAGCCAGAGCCUAUGCCAGCUAGCUUUGGGCGAAAGGGAUACUACACCCUGAACUGGUCGCCAGGCAGAUAUCGACAACAUCACUGAGCGGGAAUCGACCCCACGCCGCCCACACCAAAGUCAGCCGUGUGUACCACGACACAAUCAGCGGUUACCUUUUCGGGUUGGUUUGGAAUGAGUGGCCGCCACCGUGGUCAAGUCUGCCGGGAGACCCACGUACACGCCGCCAUAGUUUCUGAGUGGAGAGCAGAUGAGUAUUUUCAUGAUUAUAUAAAGUGUGAACAUUAUCAAGAGUCCUGUAGCAAUGUUUGCAUUCAUCUAACAAUUUUUGCCCUUUAAAACAGGUUGAUGAAAAUGUGUUUAUUUUGCUGUUUUGUAGUCACUGAUCUAAAUUUAAAUAAUUGGUGAAAAGAUUUAUUGCAAACAAACGUACAAAUAAUAAGCAGAGUUAUUACAUGAAUUCAAAUGUUACGUAGACUUUUUACAUUUGUUAAUUUAUUUGAUUAAAUAUGUUGUUCAUUAAUUGUGGUGAAUUAUAAAUAUUAGAAUUGGACAUUUACAGUAUUCUUAAAGUAUUUGACAUAUUUAGCCACGCAUUUUAUUUUACCUAACUUUUUUUUUUUUUUUUUUUUACUUCCUCCACAAAUGACCCGAUUCAUCUGUCCAUUUUAAGAACCAAAUGUAGCCCGUUAGCGCCAACGUUUCCCCUCCCGCGGUGUAAUCAUCUUUAACAUACUGCUAUGUUCCCACCAAGCAGUACCGUUAUAGAGAAAACAGAACCGUAACCGUCCAACCCUACAUUCUGGGACACCGCUCUAAACUUAGUAGCAUGGGGUUGCCAUCAUAAAAUGUUCACCAGAAUCCAUCCGUCCAUUAUCUGAGCCGCUCAUCCUCACAAGGGUCAUAUGAAUGCUGGAGGCUAUCCGAGCUUUCAACGGGCAGGAGGCAGGGUACACCCUGAACUGGUUGCCAGCCAAUUGCAGGGCACAUAGAGACAGACAACAGUCGCACUCACAAUCACACCUAGGGGCAAUUUAAAGUGUCCAUAUAAUCCAUGUUUUGGGGAUGUGUGAGGAAACCGG